AGCAGCCGCGGUAAUUCCAGCUCCAAUAGCGUAUAUUAAAGUUGCUGCAGUUAAAAAGCUCGUAGUUGAAUUUCGGGAUCAAUAUGUUGGUCGUGCCUCGGUACGUACUAGCUUAUUGGUUUCUUCCUUCUGACGAACCAUAAUGUCAUUUAUUUGGUGUUAUGGGGAAUCAGGACUGUUACUUUGAAAAAUUAGAGUGUUUAAAGCAGGCUCACGCUUGAAUACAUUAGCAUGGAAUAAUGAAAUAGGACGUUUGAUUCUAUUUUGUUGGUUUCUAGGAUCGACGUAAUGAUUAAUAGGGAUAGUUGGGGGCAUUAGUAUUCAAUUGUCAGAGGUGAAAUUCUUGGAUUUAUUGAAGACUAACUACUGCGAAAGCAUUUGCCAAGGAUGUUUUCAUUAAUCAAGAACGAAAGUUAGGGGAUCGAAGACGAUCAGAUACCGUCGUAGUCUUAACCAUAAACUAUGCCGACUAGGGAUCGGAUGAUGUUAAUUUUUAAUGACCCAUUCGGCGCCUUAAC
rnacentral:misc_RNA from 1 species